GUGCUUGCUUCGGCAGCGCUUAUACUAAAAUUGGAAUGAUACAGAGAAGAUUAGCACGGCCCCUGCUYAAGGAUGACAUGCAAAUUCGUGAAGUGUUCUAUAUUAAA
rnacentral:snRNA from 1 species